AUUGAACGCUGGCGGCAGGCCUAACACAUGCAAGUCGAACGGUAACACGGGUCAGCUUGCUGUUUCGCUUUCGCGUGGCGCGCGUGUGUGUCAUGUCUGGGACACUGCCUUAUGGAGGGGGUUACCUCCUGGAACCGGUGUCUAAUACCGCAUAACGUCGCAACCCCAUGGAUGAGGACCUUCGGGCCUCUUUCCUUUCGAUGUGCCCCCGCCGCAUUAGCUAGUUGGUAGGGUAACGGCUUACCAAGGCAACGAUCCGUAGCUGGCCUGAGAGGGUGACCGGCCACACUGGAACUGAGACACGGUCCAGACUCCUACGGGAGGCAGCAGUAGGGAAUCUUCCGCAAUGGGCGAAAGCCUGACGGAGCAACGCCGCGUGAGUGAUGAAGGUCUUCGGAUCGUAAAACUCUGUUAUUAGGGAAGAACAAAUGUGUAAGUAACUAUGCACGUCUUGACGGUACCUAAUCAGAAAGCCACGGCUAACUACGUG
rnacentral:rRNA from 1 species